rnacentral:lncRNA from 1 species
GUUUUAAAAACCCAGGAUGUACCCUUGUGAAUUUGGAUGUGAAAAUGUUGAGAUCAGAAGCACAAAUGCAAGUGUGGGAAUCAUUUCAUACAGUGUUUUGGUGACUUAAAACUGGGGAAAAUAGCACUAAAAUGGGUCCAGUACAUCCAAACUUUUAGCAGUUUGCACAUUUUUUGAGUAAGCAAAUAGAGAAUCAUGUGCCUCCCGCUGUGUCUCAUAUCAGAGACUGAGGAGAAGGCCAAACGAGAGCAGGAGGAACAGGAGGAGGCAACGGCAGAAAACCAGGAGCACAAAAAAGACCCAGAGCUGUCGGGACCAAAGAAAGACCAAAGGGUGGGAGAGGACGACCCGGAGCCAGGGGGGGUAAACAAACCUUCAGAAGAAAGUCCCCAUGACAAAUCAAAGAAAGAAGAGGCACAUGGGAAAUUACAGAACGGAGAAGUGUCUGAAGAGGCAGAAUCACCAGCAGAUGAACAUAAGAGAACACUCAGUGAAAAUGCCUAAAGUGACUUCCAUUGGCGUCUUGAGGUCCGAUGUCAGACACAGAGCGGUGAACUUGCCAUCAGGACAGUGCUCAGUUCUGAAGGUCCACGGCGCCCUCUAGAGGAUGCAGUAAAUGCUUACAUCACUUUGUAUUCAUGCCUCUAUCCCCUCCAAAGCUGCCAUUAUCUCCAGACUUUCAUAAGACUGAUCUCUCUGAAUGAUGAAGGACAUAACGGACGAGGGACAACAGCUGCUUUUGUCUGGUCUGUUUAAUUUACAGAAGCAGAUCUCCUUUCCUUCCCAAACCUUUAGAAUGCAAUGGAUGCAUCCACUAAGAAAAGCAUGCAGCAACGAUGCCAUUGAAUGUUAGGAUUCUUAUUAAAACCUCCAUUUCAAAUGCUUUCUAUGUUCUUCCGCAUUUGAGCAGCCUUGCAGUCGGAUGACUUGGUUUGUGUGUAAAGCUCAAACUGUGAUUUCUAUCUAAAUAUAUAUAAAUAUAUGUGGCCUGCAGUAAACUGUAAAUAACUAAUCUUAGCAGCAGUUGCACCCGUGAAGAAUAUUCGGCUUUUGCGGCCAACAGCGAUGUUGUGUUCAGCUAUUUUUAAUGCGCUUUACCUGACAUGGACUGAUGCAUUUCAGCAAACAUGCUCCGCCUCUGACACGCGUUUGUUCGCCUCAUCUGCUAAUAGAGGUCACAUAUAUGAAACCCUGAAUAUGUAUACAGUAUGUAUUCCUAAUGUAAAUGACUGUCUGCGUUUAGAUCAGAGCUUUUAUAACUUGAGAAAAGCCGUAUGAAGUGGCAGUAUUUCCUGUUUGAGCACGUCUGUGUGCAGCUGUGGAGUAGAAAACGCCUGAUUGAACCUAAGAUUUUACCUUCUCUCGCUUACCUUCGGAUGCCUUUCUUCAUGUAGUCUUUCUGAAAGCGAACCGAACUGAAACGUCUUCUAUAGGAAACGCUCACACACAAACUAGCAGUCACCGUAGACGAUGUAAGACUUAUAAUUGACCGUAGUCGUGUGUAAGUCAUAACCAUAUCACUGUGCUCGCUCUGCAAUACCUGCAUAUUACGCCGUAUGUCAUUUUUACUGGUUUCCUGGGGAGUCUGUGACACAUUUUUCUCUGUCCUUUGAGCAUGUAAUCUCAAGAAAUCUGAAGAGAGCAUGUCCAGGUCAUGUUUCACACCAAAAUAAACAAAUCUUUCACAAAAAAAUAAAUAAAUAAACAAAUAGGAAACAACAUUUUGCAUGAUGAAAAUAACCCAAUUUUUAGGACUAUAAAGAAAUAAUAGAUUGUCAAAAAUACUGCAAUAUAAUUACAUUAUAUAAUUGAGCAUAAAUUAAAGGUAAUAAAACAGGGGCAGCCCAUUUUUUAAAAGAUAUUUUUCAUAAGAUGUCUCUUAUGCUCACCAGGGCUGCAUUUAUUUGAUGAAAAUGAAUUAAGAAUAGUAAUAUUGUGAAAUAUUACAAUUUAAAAUAACUGUUUUCUAUUUUAGUAUGUUUUAAAAUUUCAUUUAUUCCUGUGAUUUUCAGCAUCAUUACACCAGUCUUUAGUGUUACGUGAUCCACAGAAAUCAAAUAUAGCUUCUUAUUUUCUUUUUGAUUUCAGGGUUAAAUGUGACCUGUAUAUGUUCUUGACAGCUUUUCAGAGGUUCAUCCAUUAUUAUGUUCAGCAUUCAGGAACUAGUCUGUUAACUGAAACAUUUAAAUGUCCUUUUUUUCUGUCUGUUUUGUUGUAAAUAUGGUUUCUCUAAAUGAGUGAGUUUGAAAUGGGAUGUGUAACUUGAUGAUUUUGUUUUCUGAAGGUGUGACGUGAGUAAAGCUGAGCUUCUGAAUUGUAUUUAUACAAAAUCUGUAAAAAUGUUUAUGCAUAACUGUAUCUCGUGUAUGUAUAUUAUUUACCAUAUUUAUUAAUGUAAGUCCCCCCCAUAUUUUUACACUGCAAAAUGAAUAGCAUUCUUUAUCCUAACAAAAUGAAGUAAGUAAUGGAUAUGCAUGGAGAUGAAGCAAAUUGUAAUUUCAUUACAUGGGUCACAUGAUUUAGUUUGCCUUGUGGUUUACAGUAAAGUUUCCUGUAGAUUCAGACUAUUUACUAGAGAUCUUGGGACAGAUGAAUGUGUCGGCAUGUGCUGAGAUGAUGCUAAUCCUGUGUGUGUGUGUGUGUGUGUGUGUGUGUGUGUGUGUGUGUAUGUGUGUGUGUGUGUGUUGUUGUAUGUGCUGAGAUGAUGCUAUCCUGUGUGUGUGUGUGUGUGUGUGUGUGUGUGUGUGUGUGUGUAUGUGUGUGUGUGUGUGUGUUUGAUCUGAUCAUGUUCAGUUUGUUAAAGUUGACACUGUGUGAGCUUUAGUGUCUAGCCGUCCCCAUGAUGUCUGUUUUUUUGCAGGACGGAGAGAAAGAGAAAAUCCUCUGUCUGCACACACAUGAUUCACAAUAAACAUCAACUUAAAGGGCUCAGAACAAAUGUGCUGCCGUUUUUGGGACUGAAGUGUGUGUGUGAUUUAAGCAGAAAAAGAAAUAGCUCCUCCAAAAAUCCAUCUACUCCUUCAUUUCAUUUCCAACCCCAUAUGACUUUAUUUUGUGCAACAC